rnacentral:sRNA from 1 species
UGAAUGCUGUAAAGGCAGAAUGCUGGUUGCAGAUCACAAUAUCAGGUACACUUUCCAGUAGCCCCUACAUGGCUGAGGGAGAGAGUGCUUCAGGGAAAUACUUCGUAGGUGACUGUAGAGACUCUGGAAGGAGAAAGCAUCAUGGAUAGAUCUGAAAGCUAAGGUCUUCUCAGAAGCUAGAGUUACUGAAGAGUGAGUUUCUACCUGGGAGAAGACGGCCUCUCCCUUCGAGUGCCUUCCACUUUGUGUCCUGGUGGCAGCAACUUUUUGUUUUCUGCCUUAGAGCGCAUGGUGACACCCAGCACUGCCGGAAGGCUCUGCACCGGGCCGUCCAGUGCACCAGUGACUACCCAGAGCACGUCUGCGAAGUGUUACUCACCAUGGAGAGGACAGAAGGUUCUUUAGAAGAUUGGGAUAUAGCUGUUCAGAAAACUGAAACCCGAUUAGCUCGUGUCAAUGAGCAGAGAAUGAAGGCUGCAGAGAAGGAAGCAGCCCUUGUGCAGCAAGAAGAAGAAAAGGCUGAACAACGGAAAAGAGCUCGGGCCGAGAAGAAAGCGUUAAAAAAGAAGAAAAA